GACGGAGAGGGCAAGUGUUUUUUGUUUUGACUGGGCGUAAAGAGUGCUAAGAUUGUAAAAAAAGUUUAAACUUAAAUAUUUAGCUGAAGUGGCUAAAAUUUUUUUAAAUACUUUUUUACUAGAGUUAUGGGGGAAAUUACAGAAUCUUAGGUGUAGAGGUAAAAUUCGAUGAUAUCUAAGGUACUAUCAGAAGCGAAGGCGGUAAUUUAUUUAUAACUGACAUUGAUGCACAAAAGCGUGGGUAUCGAAUAGG
rnacentral:rRNA from 1 species